rnacentral:snRNA from 1 species
GUACUUGCUUGGGCAGCACAUAUACUAAAAUUAGAAUGAUACGGAGAAGAUUAUUAUGGCCCCCAUGUGAGGGUGAUGCCCAAAUUUAUGAAGCAUUCCAUAUUAAA